rnacentral:rRNA from 1 species
AGAGUUUGAUCCUGGCUCAGAUUGAACGCUGGCGGCAGGCUUAACACAUGCAAGCCGAGCGGAAACGAUGGGAGCUUGCUCCCAGGCGUCGAGCGGCGGACGGGUGAGUAAUACUUAGGAAUCUGCCCAGUAGUGGGGGAUAGCUCGGGGAAACUCGAAUUAAUACCGCAUACACCCUACGGGGAAAAGGGGGCGCUUGCGCUCUCGCUAUUGGAUGAGCCUAAGUCGGAUUAGCUAGUUGGUGGGGUAAAGGCCUACCAAGGCGACGAUCUGUAGCUGGUCUGAGAGGAUGAUCAGCCACACCGGGACUGAGACACGGCCCGGACUCCUACGGGAGGCAGCAGUGGGGAAUAUUGGACAAUGGGGGCAACCCUGAUCCAGCCAUGCCGCGUGUGUGAAGAAGGCCUUUUGGUUGUAAAGCACUUUAAGCAGUGAAGAAGACCUAACGGUUAAUACCCGUUAGCGAUGACAUUAGCUGCAGAAUAAGCACCGGCUAACUCUGUGCCAGCAGCCGCGGUAAUACAGAGGGUGCAAGCGUUAAUCGGAAUUACUGGGCGUAAAGCGAGCGUAGGUGGCUUGAUAAGUCAGAUGUGAAAUCCCCGGGCCUAACCUGGGAACUGCAUCUGAUACUGUUGGGCUAGAGUAGGUGAGAGGGAGGUAGAAUUUCAGGUGUAGCGGUGAAAUGCGUAGAGAUCUGAAGGAAUACCGAUGGCGAAGGCAGCCUCCUGGCAUCAUACUGACACUGAGGUUCGAAAGCGUGGGUAGCAAACAGGAUUAGAUACCCUGGUAGUCC